AACUUUCAGCAAUGGAUCUCUUGGUUCUGGCAUCGAUGAAGAACGCAGCGAAAUGCGAUAAGUAAUGUGAAUUGCAGAAUUCAGUGAAUCAUCGAAUCCUUGAACGCACCUUGCGCUCCUUGGUAUUCCGAGGAGCAUGCCUGUUUGAGUGUCAUUAAUAUAAUCAACCCUUCUCUUUUUUGAGAGAGGUUUGGAUGUGGGGGUCUGCUGGCCUUUCAAAAGGCUCAGCUCCCCUGAAAUGCAUUAGCAGAACAACCUUGCUCAUUGGUGUGAUAACUAUCUACGCUUAUGAAUGUGAGGGGCAGUUCAGCUUUCCAACUGUCUUUGGACAAAUCAUCAUUAAUGUGACCUCAAAUCAGGUAGGACUACCCGCUGAACUUAAGCAUAUCAAUAAGCGGAGGCU
rnacentral:misc_RNA from 1 species